UAUCCACCCUCAAAAGUUUUGGUUUUCCCUCUCAUUCUCAGAAUUCACAAUUAACAUUCCCUCAAAAGUUUUGGAUUUCCCUCCCAUUCUCAGAAUUCACAAUUAACAUCCAUCUAGAUCUGAAUCUCAAUCGAUUGUCUCCACCUUCCAUUUCCCAUCCCCAUCUUCCAAGGGGAUGGAUAUCUCCUCUAAUGGAUUCUCGCCACUGCCUCACUGAUGCAUUACGACUGAGUUACCGGCGAACCACCAGACAACCAUCAUCUCUGCUCGAAUCCUCGUUGCUUCACUCCUUACUUCAGCCCUGGGCGGAUGCGAGCCAGUGGUGAUCCUUAUUUCAGCGUCGGAAGAAGCAACUACCUUGGUGGUGAUAAACCAUUAGCAGCUCUUAAGUUACUUCAGAAAGUUGAUGAUCUCAACUACCUUGUACUUGAAUGCUUAGCAGAACGCACCCUUGCCGACCGCUACCAGGAGAUGUUGUCAGGCGGUGAAGGUUUUGACCCCCCGGAGUAUGUUUACAUCGUCCAUUUUUACUUCAGUCCCUAUGUCACGCUACAUUUUGUUCUCAUUUAGGGUUUAGGGUUUUCAACAAAUGGAACCGUGGUUAAAUGAACUAUCAUAGUUUCAGAGUGGAUACAAUUGCUCCUUCCGUUGGCUGUUGAGAAAGGAGUGUGCACUAUUACUAACAUGGGUGCAAAAAAGGAUUUGGAAAUUGCAAGCGGAUUGGGUAUUAAGAUUACUGUAGGUGUAGCGCACCAGUUUGAUAGUGCCAAAGCAGGUCUUUGUUCUAAUUUGAGAAAUCUAAACGAUGGUAUAAGCAUGUAUCUAGGGGCAGCUCCUAUUGAAGUACAAUCCUGAUGUUGUCUUCACUUCUUGGGUUGCUGAUGCUUCCUUAUUUCUAGCUCCAAUGGUCUAUGAACUCGGGUGGAACUGGGAUGACUUCUCGCUGUUAGCCCAGGGCUCUUUGGCUGGACACCUGCUAGAAUGCGGAUGUCAACUCACUGGAGGAUAUUUUAUGCAUCCAGGUCAAUGUGGAUCACAUGAAGCUCCAAAAAGGAAAAGGAAAAGUUAGUGUGAGCAAGUUGAGGAAUAUAUUGCAAGGAUCAGAGUAUGUGCUUACCUUUAGGGACAAGGGUGGUGAUUUGAUGUUUGUGGGAGUAAGUAUGAAGCAAAUUAACUUGUUUAGUUUGUCCACUUUCGUUAUGUUAUUUCCAGUAUAGUGUUGUAGCAUUUUGAAAGGAACUAAACUCAAGUAAUAAGAACAAUUAAUAAAUUUCAGAGGUUUGAUUUGUUA